rnacentral:lncRNA from 10 species
ACGACUGGAAUCACACAUACACUGCCACAAGAGGUCUGCAGUGAAGGUCCCAAAGUCCCAGACAACGGAGUCUCUCUCUGUCGCCCAGGGUAGAGUGCAGUGGUGCAAUCCUGGCUCACUGCAACCUCUGCCUCCCAGGUUCAAGUGAUUCUCCUGCCUCAGCUUCCCAAGUAGCUGGGACUACAGGCGUGUGCCACCACGACCAGGAUCUUUCUGCUGAUGCAGCUGUUAAGAGUGUUUCAUAAACUGUGACAACACUAAGCAAAAUCAUAGAAGGAAACUCUAUGGACAAUUUCAGAUGGAGAAGAAGAAAGGACUGGAAGUUCAAUUUGGCCAUGACAAUUAGACUUGAAGAAGCUGAGUGAGAAGGCCAUGCAGAUAUCUUGGAGAAGUGCAUUCCAGGCAGAGGAAAAGCCAGUGCAGAGACACUGAAGCAGGGCAUGACUGAUGUGUAUAAGGAGCAUCAUAUACAUGAUCAUCUACAGUCCACUGAGGAGAAUAGCAGACGAGAGGCCAGGUGCAGUGCAUGUAAUCCCAGCACUUUGGGAGACUGAGAUGGGAAGAUCGCUUGAGGCCAGGAGUGCAAGACCAGCCUGGGCAACACAGCAAGACCUUGAUUCUACUAAAAAAAAAAAAGGAUCCUUCAACUUCAACAAUAAUAACACAAGGGAAGUGAAGAAAAACACUUUCUAAGGAAAUCUCUCUCUGAGCUACCAUCCUGCUAGGGAGAGCCUGAAAGCAGAAUGCUGACUUGACUAGCUCUGGUCAAUGAAAGAAAUCACCAGUGGAAAGGCUACCAGGGGGCUUUCUCAAAAGAGAGGGACAGU